GCAUAUCAAUAAGCGGAGGAAAAGAAACCAACAGGGAUUGCCCUAGUAACGGCGAGUGAAGCGGCAACAGCUCAAAUUUGAAAUCUGGCUCUUUUAGAGUCCGAGUUGUAAUUUGCAGAGGGCGCUUUGGCUUUGGCAGCGGUCCAAGUUCCUUGGAACAGGACGUCACAGAGGGUGAGAAUCCCGUACGUGGUCGCUGGCUAUUGCCGUGUAAAGCCCCUUCGACGAGUCGAGUUGUUUGGGAAUGCAGCUCUAAAUGGGAGGUACAUUUCUUCUAAAGCUAAAUAUUGGCCAGAGACCGAUAGCGCACAAGUAGAGUGAUCGAAAGAUGAAAAGCACUUUGGAAAGAGAGUCAAACAGCACGUGAAAUUGUUGAAAGGGAAGCGCUUGCAGCCAGACUUGCUUACAGUUGCUCAUCCGGGCUUUUGCCCGGUGCACUCUUCUGUAGGCAGGCCAGCAUCAGUUUGGGCGGUAGGAUAAAGGUCUCUGUCACGUACCUCUCUUCGGGGAGGCCUUAUAGGGGAGACGACAUACUACCAGCCUGGACUGAGGUCCGCGCAUCUGCUAGGAUGCUGGCGUAAUGGCUGUAAGCGGCCCGUCUUGAAACACGGACCAAGGAGUCUAACAUCUAUGCGAGUGUUUGGGUGUCAAGCCCGAGCGCGUAAUGAAAGUGAACGGAGGUAGGAACCCGCAAGGGUGCACUAUCGACCGAUCCUGAUGUCUUCGGAAGGAUUUGAGUAAGAGCAUGGCUGUUGGGACCCGAAAGAUGGUGAACUAUGCUUGAAUAGGGUGAAGCCAGAGGAAACUCUGGUGGAGGCUCGCAGCGGUUCUGACGUGCAAAUCGAUCGUCAAAUUUGGGCAUAGGGGCGAAAGACUAAUCGAACUAUCUAGUAGCUGGUUCCUGCCGAA
rnacentral:rRNA from 1 species